CACGUAGGGGGCAAGCGUUGUCCGGAUUUAUUGGGCGUAAAGAGCUCGUAGGCGGCUUAGUAAGUCGGGUGUGAAACCUCCAGGCUCAACCUGGAGACGCCACCCGAUACUGCUGUGGCUAGAGUCCGGUAGGGGAGCGUGGAAUUCCUGGUGUAGCGGUGAAAUGCGCAGAUAUCAGGAGGAACACCGGUGGCGAAGGCGGGUCUCUGGGCCGAUAUUGACGCUGAGGAGCGAAAGCGUGGGGAGCGAACAGG
rnacentral:rRNA from 1 species